rnacentral:rRNA from 1 species
UGGGGAAUAUUGGACAAUGGGGGGAACCCUGAUCCAGCCAUGCCGCGUGUGUGAAGAAGGCCUUAUGGUUGUAAAGCACUUUAAGCGAGGAGGAGGGUACUGGUAUUAAUACUACCAGGUACUGGACGUUACUCGCAGAAUAAGCACCGGCUAACUCUGUGCCAGCAGCCGCGGUAAUACAGAGGGUGCGAGCGUUAAUCGGAUUUACUGGGCGUAAAGCGUGCGUAGGCGGCUAAUUGAGUCGGAUGUGAAAUCCCGGAGCUAACUUGGGAAUUGCAUUCGAUACUGGUUAGCUCGAGUGUGGGAGAGGAUGGUAGAAUUCCAGGUGUAGCGGUGAAAUGCGUAGAGAUCUGGAGGAAUACCGAUGGCGAAGGCAGCCAUCUGGCCUAACACUGACGCUGAGGUACGAAAGCAUGGGGAGCAAACAGG